UAGGGGGGAGGGGAAGAUGGGGAGGGGAGAGGACGAGGGCCCCGCCCCCGAGGACAAUCGGGAUUGGGGGACCAGAGAGCCUGUCAGAGGAAGGGUGGGAAGAGGAAGGAGGGAGCGUUGUCAUGGCAACUGGUUCCCGGUUGCAUUGGCUGCCAGGCGGGAGGGUAGAAUAAGGGAGGGGGAGGAGGGACAGAGACCAACAGACCCUUGGAGGGGGGCAGGGUCCACAGUGCGUGGCCCUGACACCCCUGUGACACAACACUGGUGCCCACACGUGUGCUACAUGCUAAGAUGCAGAUAUCAAGCCCACGCAGCCCACACACAGCUGACACAUGUCACAGGAACCUUCACAAGCGCAUCUCAUACAAAAGUGGACAGCCAUCAGCAAACGGAGACACAGACACGUCACACACAAAGACACAGGGACAGACCACACUGAGAAUGCAUAGGCAGUCCAGACUCUGGUUGGUACAGAUUCACCCAGCCACACAGGAAUACCCCAGCAUCACAUGCACGCACACGCACACAACACAGAGCUCCAAACAUAGGGAGGUAUCACAAAGAUCCAUUCAGACCCUUUGGGACAUGAGGAGGCAUGCUGUCAUAAACUGAUAUUCCACACAGACAACAAAGAACACACAGAAAUCACUAACUCGAACACGUAAAGACAGUUGCAUGCCCACAGACACAGGCUGAUCAGUCACAUAUGUGAACAUACAGAAACAACACAUGCAUGUAUGCAGGCACUGGGUAUGCACAUUGCUCACCCUCAGGGACAAAUGUAUAUCACAUACAUGCACACGGGAACACACAGUUCAAACAUGCAAAGCCACAUAGCUUAUGCAAAAACACAGAUACAGAACAGGGAUACAAACAUGUCCUGUGCACACGUAUUACACACAAAGGCACACCACCUAUCUAAACAAACAGCACGAAUGGACACACUCUUUAGACGAGAUUACAAGGACUCCUUAUCCACUGCAGCCUCACACCACAUACACCAACACACAUGGGCACAAAAGAUGCAUAAGCGUAGUUUAUUUUAUAUAUUUAUUCUUAGCAGGAUUUACUCUGCGCCAGGCGUUUCCCAAGAUUUACAGUAUUACCUUCCAAUCAUUUCAACAGUCCCCAAGACAGGCGCUUUUUCAUGCCCAAUGUAUAGGUAAGGAAACUGAGGCACAGAGAGGGGCAGUCACCUGCCCCAUGCACAGAACAGGGGAUUAGCAGAGGUAAGGUUGGAACCUGGCCGUCAGGGACACCGACACAUCAGACAAGACACACACACACACACACACACACACACACACACAUCACGUGCCAGGCUGCAGUCUCGGGGUCCCACCCUACGCGGCGGCACACAGAGCUGCAGACACACCCGGAAGCGCGGACUACCGCCCUCGGCGAGGAUGUCUCCAUGGUCCAAGGAAUACCUGCGACUCGUCCCCUCAGUGAGGCUGGACCGGAGCUGCGCGCGCAGCACUGCUCACUGUGGGCACUGGGAGGAGGGGAAGCCUCACGAGGGGUUCACUGGAAAAACUGAGGCAGGAUCAUCGUGGAAUGGAGGAUCAGAAAGCUACAGAAAGUCCACUCAGAUCCUCCUCUCAUGGACCAAAUAGGCUCCAUCCAGGCGCUUGCUACACCCAGGACAGCUCCAGAGAAGCCACCUUCAGAUGCUCCAUCUCCUGUCACAGACGCUUCUUACUGGACCUGUUCCUUCUGACCUAUCCUCAGAUGGCUCCACAGGCCCUGGACAGCAAGGAGACAGCCAACUCUCCUAAGACUGGACGAACACCCCCAUACCCAUUCCUCUACGUUCCCCAGAGACACGUCGCCCCAAUGUCAGCAUGAAGCAGCCAGAUAUCACGACGACCCUAUUCCUGCUUUGCCAUCAUCUUUUUCUUUUUUUUUUUAAAGAUUUAUUUAUUUAUGUAUAUGAGUACACAGUAUAGCUGUACAGAUAGUUGUGAGCCUUCAUCUGGUUGUUGGGAGUUAACUUUUUUAGGACCUCUGCUCGCUCCCGUCAGCUCGCUCAGCCCGGCUCACUCAGUCCCUGCUCACUCUGGCCCAAAGAUUUAUUUAUUAUUAUAAUUAAGUACACUGUAGCUGUCUUCAGACGCACCAGAAGAGGGC